rnacentral:rRNA from 1 species
CCUACGGGUGGCAGCAGUGAGGAAUAUUGGUCAAUGGCCGGAAGGCUGAACCAGCCAAGCCGCGUGAAGGACGAAGGUGCCAAGCAUUGUAAACUUCUUUUGUCAAGGGACAAAAUCAGGCUCGAGAGCCUGACCGAGGGUACUUGAAGAAAAAGCAUCGGCUAACUCCGUGCCAGCAGCCGCGGUAAUACGGAGGAUGCGAGCGUUAUCCGGAUUUAUUGGGUUUAAAGGGAGCGUAGACGGCUGUGCAAGUCUGAAGUGAAAGCCCAGGGCUCAACCCUGGGACUGCUUUGGAAACUGUGGAGCUAGAGUGCUGGAGAGGUAAGUGGAAUUCCUAGUGUAGCGGUGAAAUGCGUAGAUAUUAGGAGGAACACCAGUGGCGAAGGCGGCUUACUGGACAGUAACUGACGUUGAGGCUCGAAAGCGUGGGGAGCAAACAGGAUUAGAUACCCCGGUAGUC